AUGCUUCGCCUGCAAUGUCUAUUGGUACUAACGGUCUCUCCUUCUUUCAUCUGCAUGCAUUUUUUAAGUUUUAAAUUCCUCGGCGUACACAUCACGGACAAACUGAAAUGGUCCACCCACACAGUCAGUGUGGUGAAGAAGGCGCAACAGUGCCUCUUCAACCUCAGGAAGCUGAAGAAAUUUGGCUUGGCACCUAAAACCCUCACAACCUUAACAGAUGCACAAUUGAGAGCAUCCUGUCGGGCUGUAUCACCGCCUGGUAUGGCAACUGCACCGCCCUCAAACGCAAGGCUCUCCAGAGGGUGGUACGGUCUACACAACGCAACACCGGGGGCAAACUACCUGCCCUCCAGGACACCUACAGCACCCGAUGUCACAUGAAGGCCAAAAAGAUCAUCAAGGACAACAACCACCCGAACCACUGCCUGUUCACCCUGCUAACAUCCAGAAGGCGAGGUCAGUACAGGUGCAUCAAAGCUGGGACCCAGAGACUGAAAAACAGCUUCUAUCCUUCUAUCUCAAGGCCAUCAGACUGUUAAACAGCCAUCACUAACACAGAGAGGCUGCUGCCUACAUACAAACUCAAAUCAUUGGCCACUUUAAUACAUGGAUCACUAGUCACUUUAAAUAAUGCCACUUUAAUAAUGAUUACAUAUCUUACAUUACUCAUCUAAUAUAUUGCAUCUUGCCUAUGCCGCUUGGUCAUCGCUCAUCCAUAUAUUUAUAUGUACAUAUUCUUAUUCCAUCCCUUUAGAUUUGUGUGUAUUAGGUAGUUGUUGUAGAAUAGUUGGAUUACUUGUUAGAUAUUGGUGCACUGUCGGAACUAGAAGCACAAGCGUUUCACUACACUCGCAUUAACAUCUACCAACAUUGUGUAUGUGACCAAUACAAUUCGAUUUUGAUUUGAGCUGCAGUUGGACUGAGUCUGGUGGGGAUGAUACUGGCAGUUUGCAUCACUCAUCACAAGAACAAGAAAGGGAACACGACAACCUUAACGGUACGGUCCAAAUAAGCUGCUCUGUAUGCUUUACUUGCCCAGUGUGUUUCAGUGUCUGAUUGCAAUAUAAUAUACGAAGAAACCCGAAUGCCAUAGUCCUACAGCAUGUAUGCUGAUUAUUUAUCUGAAGACAAUCUUGUUAUGGUCAAGAGCUCAAGAAUUUGGGUCAAGUUUAUCAGGAAGGAAGCCACCCAUCUUUGCUUUUCUGCUUUAUUAAAAGCUGAGGUCUGGAACUCCCUCCAGGUCAUCUCUCUCUCCAUUCCUUGGCCUUGGUUGCCUGGUUUUUAAGCACUACAUUCAUUCAUUGUCGAGAACAAACAUCCGUUUGGCCAGAGCGAUGUGGAUGGGUAGCCUUGGUACAUAAAUAUUUUUGCAGGACAACUCCUGGGAACCAUGUACCAUGUAUGUGAGGGCUGUUGGGGCCGUUUCAGCUCCAGAUGACAGUCUGCAGUCAUUCAUUUUAAUUAGAGAAAUAUCCUAUAAACCGAACUGUUUUAACUGUCAAUGUACUUUAUUGCACACAAUCCUCGAGCAUAAAUAAAAUCAAUGUAUUUACAUUGGGUCUAAUGUGUGUGUGUGUGUGUGUGUGUGUGUGUGUGUGUGUGUGAGAGAGAGUGAGGCAUGUUUCUCAACUCCAAGAAAAGCACACAGAAUUUCCUCAAACUGUACAUAUUACCACAUUAUCACAUUUUGAUUUGAUAGAUAUUUAGAGUAAUUAUGUAGAUACUGACAAUGGACAGACAGGCGUAGAUAUCUCCCAUCCUAAAAUUAACUGGAGCAUCCAUAAAAUAAACAAGUCAUUACAAUUUCUUUACAUUGGGGAUAAUGUGUGUGUGUGUGUGUGUGUGUGACAGAGAGAGAGAGAGUGUGUGCAUGUUUUAUUUUUUCCUUGUCAGCCACCCAUCUCUGCUUUAUCAGUCUUGAUAGGCCCAGUGUAUGCACUUCUGGGUGAGGCUGUCGGGCAGUGGUGGAGUGCAUGGCAGAUCUGAAAGAGUGAUGCACAUAGUGACAGUAAGUGUACAGCUCAACGACAUGUCUGUGUGUUAUCUGUUGGUGUGAGUGAGGAUAUGUGUAUGUAAUAUAAUUCUGAAUGACCUGAAUCCAUCUGGGAAUCCUCACAAGUUUCUCCCUUCACGACUACUGUAGUAGGAACUGGUGCAGGCGGUAAAUGAAAUGCCACAGCAGAGGACUGCUGUGACUGCAGCUGAAAUGCUGAGGGUGGCAGAGCUAAAAGAGAGAGGCACAAUUUUCUCAAUUGACAAUAAUCAUACCACUAAACAGACUGAAUGAGUGUAAGGCCUAGAUCCA
rnacentral:lncRNA from 1 species